GCAGACACCAAGUGCUGAGGUCCUGUCUCAGCCUCAUACAGACCAAUUGCUGGGAAGGUGAGAAGCAAGUGGACAAAUGAUGAAGUAAAGGUUGCUGCAAAGUACCAGGUAAAAGGAAUGUGACUGCUGCUUCCAAGCAGAGCCGGCAGCUCUGAAAGGCAGAGACUGGGUUGCCAUAAAGUACUACAUCCACAACAGGAUCAUAGCAUUAAAAGAAAGAUGCAAGGAAAAAA